CCUAUGCAUUGUUCACGUGCCACUCCUGUGCUUUGUACGCUACACAGCAAGUCUAAGUGUUGCCACGCCGAGGUGCUUCCUCCAUACAGAUGUAUCCGAAAGUGACAAAUGGUGCCAAGAAUUUACAUAAUUCUGAACACAAUGGAAUAAUUAUUUCCAGAGAUUUUCGUGUUCUUUAUCCAUUGCGAUGGGGAUAUGAAGAGUUAAAUCUUCGAGAUGUUGUAUUCCCCUUCUAGAAUCAGCUUUCGUCCGACUAGGUGAAAAGUGGCUCCAUAUAUCUGGGCGUAUACGGUCGGAAAAUUGUACAAAUCUGGCCGUCAUGUUGGCAUCUGAGAGUAC